AGAAUUAAAUGUAAGUGUGGUAGUAAAGCGUGUGUGCAUUGAAUGUAUGUGUGGAUGUAAGAGUGUGUGUACGUAAUAAAAUGGUUGUGCGGGUGUAAUAGUGCGAGUGUGUACGUAAGAGUGCAAGUGUGUAUGUAAGAAUGCAAGUGUGUAUGUAAGAGUGCAAGUGUGUAUGUAAUAGUGCAAGUGUGUAUGUAAGAGUGUAAGUGUGUAUGUAAGAGUGCAAGUGUGUAUGUAAGAGUGUAAGUGUGACUGUAAGAGUGCAAGUGUGAAUUAUAAGAGUGUAAGUGUGACUGUAAGAGUGCAAGUGUGAAUUAUAAGAGUGUAAGUGUGAAUGUAAGAGUGCAAGUGUGUAUGUAAGAGUGUAAGUGUGUAUGUAAGAAUAUAUAUAUGUGGUUGUAAGAGAUACGUGAUUUCCUGCAGGUGAGAGAUGAUAGUAAGGAGAUGCUCUGAUGUUGACGUGUACAAUCCUUGUUGACCCCCGUACCUGGUAGUUUGGAAGAAAGAGUCUACUCAUAAUAGUCUAACAUAUCAUAAGAAAAUCUGGCCUCAAGCUAAACGAUUCAAGAAAUGGUUCUUUUGUUUAAGCUGACAAUUAUCUCCUGAUUCUUUGAAACGAAUAUUGUUUCAGGAGAUAUAUAUAUAUUUUUUUUAUUUUUUUUGGUUCUGUUGAUCAAAAUGAAAUUCUGUCUUCAUUCUCUGAUGUCACUACCAUUCAUGAUCAUCACUGCUUUGUCUUUAUUACUGAAUCAAACACCGCUGUUAUGUAGAGGUUAUUUUUAAGAUAUGCUCUCUGGAAGUUCGUUUAUUAUAAUACAAUCUAAGCACGUGCCAUGUAAUAUAGAACUAAUCUAAUAAAAUUAAGAACUAUUUCCUUAGUGCUCCCGAUUUCAUCACGGUCAACCAACACGUUCAUUGGAGUCCCUUCAUUAUAGAACUGAACAAGUAAACAGUAGGUGGUUCUUCGUGUACAGAUAAAUGUGUCUCUCUAACCUUACAGUAAAGAUGAACAUUUAAGUGCUAAUGACACAAGUAUGCAGGUGAUCUACUCCCUAAGUCCUCUGACGGUAUAGUGGCUAUCAUUAGUGACGAAUGUUACAGGGCUGUGGUUAUAUGUAAGGUUCAUAACGCUUAUACUUGUCUCUCAAAUCUUUGUUGUAGUUUGGAGGAUAUGUGUCAUCAUCAAGGAUACAUGAUAUCACCACCACGUAGAUGAUACAUGUGUCACUACUACUACGUGAGGAUAAAUGUGUCAUCAUAAAGAAGAGGACAUAUGUAUCACCAUCACGUUAAGGAUCCAUGUAUCACCAUCACGUCAAAUAUGAAUAUCAUCAUCACGUUAAAGGAUGUAUGUGUCACCAUCUGGAGGAUCUGGGCAUCAAUCUCACACACUCAGGAACAAGAAAGACAAGGACAUUGGAACGAGAUACUCAAGACAUAAGAGAUAGGCUGCCUGAGUGAAUGAAUAACAGGAACAGGGAAUUGAGGCGAACCAUUCACGUACUGUGGGGAAGAGCUUUGGUUGGUGGAUUAAGGAAGGAACAGUUUACUAGCUGAAGAAAGAGUCAGCCAUGUGUCGGGGUCUGAGUACAGAGGAAUGCGUAGGUGCCAGGGAGAUUUGAGGUCAAAACGUUUGAGUUGCAUGGCUAAUUCAUUGGACCACAACCAUGGACUUAGAGACAGGCCACAACCACGGACUUACUGUAGAGACAGGCAACAACUAUGGACUUACUGUAGAGACAGGUCACAACCAUGGACUUAGAGACAGGCCACAACCAUGGACUUACUGUAGAGACAGGCCACAACCAUGGACUUACUGUAGAGACAGGCCACAACCAUGGACUUACUGUAGAGACAGGCCACAACCAUGGACUUACUGUAGAGACAGGCCACAACUAUGGACUUACUGUAGAGACAUGCCACAACCAUGGACUUACUGUAGAGACAUGCCACAACCAUGGACUUACUGUAGAGACAGGCCACAACCAUGGACUUACUGUAGAGACAUGCCACAACCAUGGACUUACUGUAGAGACAGGCCACAACCAUGGACUUACUGUAGAGACAGGCCACAACUAUGGACUUACUGUAGAGACAGGUCACAACCAUGGACUUACUGUAGAGACAGGCCACAACCAUGGACUUACUGUAGAGACAGGCCACAACCAUGGACUUACUGUAGAGACAGGCCACAACCAUGGACUUACUGUAGAGACAGGCCACAACCAUGGACUUACUGUAGAGACAGGCCACAACUAUGGACUUACUGUAGAGACAGGCCACAACCAUGGACUUACUGUAGAGACAGGUCACAACCAUGGACUUACUGUAGAGACAGGCCACAACCAUGGACUUACUGUAGAGACAGGCCACAACCAUGGACUUACUGUAGAGACAGGCCACAACCAUGGAUUCUGGAAGGGCCGAAACUAUAGACUACAAAACGUACCGUCACCAUGGACUUAUAGAGACGGGUCAGAAUCACGGACAGAGGGAUUUUACUAUUGCCACGGACGAAGCAACGGGCCCAAACCAUGGAUUUAGGUACGGACAAAAACUAUGGACUUAUGAAUAAAAAGAUUUAUCGGUGUUAAAGGCAUAGUAACGGACCAGAGACAGUAGGUUAACGGACUUACGGAUAAACUAGAACCACGGACUACAAAACUUAGCAUUGCUACGGACUUAGGAAAGAGUCAAAGCCACGACUUUAGAAGCAGGUCAAUGUCACGGCCAAAACGAUAGGACAUUUGGUACGGACUCAGGAACGGACUAAUGUCAUAGAAUGAUAAAGGGACUGGAACCACGUACUAAGGAACGUGACAUUACCACAAGAUGAGUAACGUACAAGAAUGGCAGAUAGAUGGACAUGCUAGCGUCAGGCAGUGAUGGACGCGAUUGAGACACCAAGAUAUGCAAGAAAAACUAAACGAAACACGAACUGAGAUAAAGUAACACCUGGAACUGAUGAAAGUUUGUCCAGAAGAAUCGAGGAAUGUCCAGAGUCACGGUCUGAGGGACGAAACUGGGGCACCAUAGAACGUGAGUCUCCCAAUGAGGCCAAAGUUGCCAAACCGGAACUGCUACAUCCCAGGUGUCCAACUUAAAAUGUGGAAUGUACAGCUCAUCACCUUUUUUUUUUUUCCAAUUAGUUAACCCGAAUUUCACUUGAGCUGUUCCUGUGUACAUAGAACUUCUUUGCAUGUACACACACUUGCAUAUAUACAUAAAUAUACCUGUAAAAUAAGCGUAUACAAACUUAAGACCACACCCUGCCAACACUGUAUGUCCGGUGUUGUUCGUGUAUAUGCGUAAUACACAUUUCCCUGUCAGUGAGGCAUUGUUUUCCCGUCAUGCAUAAUAUUGGUUAUGAUGUUAUAUGAUAUAGACAAUAUAGGCACAUAUACAGCAAAAGAAAAAACAUGAAUAGACAAAAUAUUUACAUUUCUACACCCUUAACCAAAGGACUAAGAGAAAUUGCCGUGACCCACCCAUGUUUUAUACUUGUCUGUGUGAUAUGAAUGUGUAUUAAAACUGUCUGUAGUGUCUCAUUAUAUGUGCUUGUUUUAGGAUAAAUGUUUAUCUGUUUUAUCAUAUGCUGUGAAUCUGGAUGACUCUACCUACCUGUAUUGUGUUACAGGUGUAGCUGACUGCAUUGAAUGAGGGAAAUUAGGACUGUCUGUGUUGACGUAUGUAUAAACUGUGAUGAAGAGUAAGUGUGACUGUGCCUGCCUAAGGUGAAGGGUACGUAAGACUGUGCUUCUCUGUGUCGAAGGGUACGUAAAGCUGUACCUGUCUGUGAUGAGGGUACGUAUAACUGUACCUGUCUGUGUCGAAGGGUACGUAUAACUGUACUUGUCUGUGUCGAAGGGUACGUAUAACUGUACCUGUCUGUGUCGAAGGGUACGUAUAACUGUACCUGUCUGUGUCGAAGGGUACGUAUAACUGUACUUGUCUGUGUCGAAGGGUACGUAUAACUGUACCUGUCUGUGAGGAGGGUAUGUAUAACUGUACCCGUCUGUGUCGAAAGGUAUGAAUAACUAACUGUACCUAGCAGUGUAAAGAAGUAUAUGCACUGUUUGUCAGAUACAGAUAUGUAUGACUUUACCUAAUGUAUACCUGCGUAGUGAAGUAUACAUGACUUAUCUACGCUUGUAUUGAGGAGUGUAACGACUGCCUUGUGUUAAGGAGAAUCUAUUUCUGUAUUUGGCUGAAUCAUGUGUCUUCAGUUUACUUUGGAACCUUACAACAUAAGUGACGUUGGUUUUGGGCGUUUCUUGGGGUUUUCUCUGUGUGAAAUGAACCAAUAAUUAAAUAGAUAAGAUUGUAUAUAACUAAAAUAGAUGGAAAAAAAUUCAUGUCUUGCUAGUGUAACUUGGCUGGUGUCUUUUCUUGAGUCCUUCCACAACAUGAGAAUGUGCCAAGUAAUGAUACAAUAUCCAAGGCAGUAAGUAUCAUUAAUAAUACCCUAUUACUACCAUGUGUGGAUGUUUAUCCUUGAUCCCUUAAUGACUAUGAGUAACUUCCAUGAUUUAAUUAGUGAAGGAUGAUGAAACUUAAGCGUUUCUUUGAAUAUUAAAUAUUUCCUCGUGAGAAUGUGAAAUUAGUGCCAGGAAUUCGUGGAAUCUUCCUUACCUGAGUGCAUCUAUGGGUAGUUCUUAGCGUACACAAGCUGUAUCUGCGGUUGUAUUUUGGUAUUUAUUGUUUAUAGAGUAUACGCUGAAUAACAAAGUGCACUUUAUAUAAAUGUAAUUGUAAUUUUAAUAUUACAUCAUGUCAUGCAAUGACAUAUUGAUGAGCAUCACCUUCCUGGUCUAUGCUAAAAAGAAAUGACAAAGCUUACUUUUACUGGUAAACCUGUUCAGCAGCUUACACAGUGUGCACCACCUGCCAUGUCUUCAGGUGCUUCAUAAAGAAAUAAGAUUUUUGCUGGUAAGACUAGUAGUGUGACCUCUCAAGUGCUUUCCAGUAUGUGUAAGAACACCUGCUAGUGUCUUUCAGCGUAUACGAGGGUUGAUUUAUGCGUUUUGGUUUACUGUUAAUGUUGGUUUUUUUAGGAUAUACACUUCAUCAAACCACUUUGAAUGCCUAUAUAUACUGAUAUUGUAUUAUCAGUUCAUCCUAAGACCACCAUUAACAUUGUUAACAACUGUCUUUUGUACUUGAAAAUCUAUAUCAGUAUAUCUGAUAGAAUACUGGCAGGUUUUAUACAGAACUCACUCCUACUGUUCACUGCACCUAUGAUUGUAUUUCAACUUGUAUCUAAAAUUUAUAUUUAUAUUUGACUGACCACGUAAUGCAUGGAAAUGUACCUGUAGAGUUAUGUGACGAUAUUUGAGGGUAGACAUGGAUGUACUAAUACUGCUGUGAAUGCAGUAAUUAUAUCUUACGCAGUCAUUAUGUUUCAAGUGUAGAAAAUGUCUGUACUAUAGUUUAAUUGAUAAAUUCUUCGGCAGGUAAAACAGUAUGAAUAGUUCAGUAGUUUUUCUUUCACGUUAGAGAGAUAGUGAGAAAGCUGUUGCAGGGAUAUGACAGCUUGCAUGUAUCAACAACUGCUUUCCAAGUACAUUAUAAUAAUUAACAAUGUAUUUUGACAGCUUUUAUGAUAGCGGAGGUGGUAGGUGGUCUAGUAAUGUCUCUAGAAUAAACAUACUGUAGUGCACACACUAAUUGACCUGAACAAAACUUUAUUGGUUAAGUGCACAGAAUACAAGAGACAAUACGUGCACCUGAGAAUGUUCCUUCUGUUAAUGGAGUAACCAUCUGAGUCAUACAACUCUGUAAGUCUCAUAAAAAGAAGAAAAACUUUCAACCUAUUUAAUAUGAGAAUUAAGUUAAAAUUGGCGUAAGCUGAGUGUGUGGAGUUGAACUUGGUGAUACGGUGUCUCGUAUAGUAUUUUCCGUGUGUUGUGUAUCUGAAACUUUAGGUUGGUGUUUAUAAUAUUACUGAACAUUUUCGAGUGUGUGAGUGAGAGUUUGUACUGGUUUAUUAUAUUUGAGUAUACAUGCUGGGUACAUUAUGGUAUAAAUGAUAUUAGUUCUCAACUUCCCAUUCCUAUUAAUGGCUUACACGGGCGCUUAGUGAUUCUUUUUGAUGUAUGUGCUGUAGUCCCAUCGAGUGUUCUAAGUUGUAUCAUUAUAUAUCAUUAUAAGCAAUAUAUGCACUCACACCCUGUGAUAUCCCUCUAAGCAUGCCAUAUAUUUACAUAUUGUUGCGGUUUUAAGUCACUGUCGUUAGAAAGUAUUUGUAUUGAAUUUUAAUUCUAUAAUAGUGUUCGAUGUAGGAGACAUCUCCUUGUUGUUUUGAUAAUGAAGUGCAUUACUGCAUUUGGGAUUCUCGUACAUAUUUUGUCACAAAGGAGUCACAUCCCAGAGACUCCUUCCCUGAGCACCAGUAUUAUUAGUGUUAUUUUGCAAAGCUUGAAAGGCAAGUAGUGUUUAGCAUUCAGAUAUGCUCUAGCAUUCACUUCAUAUUGACAGUAAGAGUUAUUGUUACCGGUUCGUCUAGUUCAAUAGCUCAGCUGUCAAGUUACAGAACAAUCCUGUCAAAUAUAUAUAUAUAUAUAUAUAUAUAUAUAUAUAUAUAUAUAUAUAUAUAUAUAUAUAUAUAUAUAUAUAUAUAUAUAUAUAUAUAUAUAUAUAUUCAGGAAGGUGUGACCCGGCGUUACGCUGCCAAGGUCUUGGUCUUCAAGCGCUGUGGCCUGGUUGCUAGGCACUAUGUGAUCUGGUUUCCUGGCACCAUGAAGCCUGAUCUCUGGGCGCUGUGUUCUGGUAGACAGGUGCUGUGUGGCCUAGUUUCCGAGCUCUGUGUGGCCUAGUAUCCGGGUACUAUGUGAUCUGGUUUCCGGGUUCUGCGUGACCUGUCCUCCAGGUACUGUUUGGUCUGGUCACCAGACUCUACGUGAUCUGGUUUCCGUGCGCUGUGUGACCUGAUCUCCAGGUGCGGCUGGACGUACUGGAGAACUUUCGCCGCUAGGGACACCUUCACCGUUCACUCCUUUCUGUGAAAGGCAAAUUGAACUUUGCCGUUCUUAUGUUAUGCCAAAGGGUGGAUAAAAGUUUUUGUGAUAUUCUCCAAACUCCAUCUAGUUCAUAACGGCCGUUCCAUGUUUGUUAUUAUUCUGCUAAGUGGCCGUGAUGUUAAUUGUGAAUGCGGCCAUCACUUCCACCGUCAUCACCAGAACCUACCAUCACCACCAUAUCUCUCCACACUUCACGGGCGGAACGCGUCAGCUUACUCCCAGUCCCGACUCCCAUAUGCGGCCAUCAACCCUUACCGCUGUUUAAUGCUAGACUGAAACUGGUAGCAAGAGAGCAAUUGCAACAGCAUAUCAAAACAACAAUUGUACAAUUUGUACAUACAGUUUUAAGUUAAUGGUAGAUUAUACGUGUCAUUCAUUUACAACGUUAUCUCUAGGUUCUAUAAAGUAGCCUAAUCAUAUUCUCUCUUCAUUGGGUAUGGAUGAAUGUGUAGCGAGGUUAUGGUACAAGAGCGACCUGUCCACCAGUCGCAAAGCUGCCGUGACCACUGUAGCGGGACAUAGAGAGCCACAAGUCCUGGAUUCUGUUUCAGCUUUGACCACCUGACCGCUGCCACAGUACCCACCUCCCCACAUGUAAACGAACUUGAACAUUGAGAUGGCCAUCCGAAGAUGUGUAUCACUGUAAAACAACUCUAUCAACACAUCUCUGAAGUCACAACAACUCACUCCAUGGGCCUCGAAUAUGAUGAGUGACCAAAGCCUCACAUCAGGCUGCGCAAUGAUAACUGAACACUCCCUGGGAGACAACAUCUACUAGUCCACCCUGGUCUCACCACAAAGGGUACAUGACGCACAUCAAACCAUCCCGACAGCUGACACUUGUUGCACCAUAAGGGUCUCAUCUCCAGGGCCACCAAGUGCAGGCCCAACUUCCCUGGGUGCUAUCACUCCCUAUUCCGCUGCAUAUCAUGGGCAGAAUAAAUUAGCUGGCACCAAUUGAGCGGCAGAUUAUUGGGUUCUGGCACUGAUCUAAUAAUUACUUACGGUUCUGGUACGUGGCAGUGUAACUCUCGCGCCUGACUCUACUUACGGAUGAUCGUGUAAAUAAGAUCCGCCAUAUUUAUUUUUCAGCGGCAACUGAUACUCUUUUCGUUGUCUGCAGGGUGGUCAGUCCUUCUCGUGUUUACUUAGUUUAGUUCAGUGUUGCGUGUUAACCCCCCUUAUGCAAGUGAGUGCCAAAUAACGGGUGGUAUAACGAUACUAAAAGAUCAUAUGAUGUAAGUGAACUUCAGUGUUACUCAACAUUAUAACAAGUGGAUACUUCACAAGAAUCCGGGCUGCUCGAGAGUGGUCCUGAGGAUGUAGAUCCCUACUGCACAGACUUCGUAAUUGUUGAUGUUAUAUAAUAUACAAGUGUGUUGUGACAUACACGUUCUACAUAGAGUCGAUAGUGGUCGGGGGCUGUAACUGAAUUUUGUGACAACUGCAAGCAUGGUAGCAACAAACAAACAUAUAUGGAAUCCAGGAUGGCCUCAGCGUCACAUAUGGAUGGCAAAGAACUGAAAUUCACUCUGUAGUUGGUAAAAGUUGGUCAGCAGAGUUAGUGCACAAAGAUACACCCUUUUUCGGAAUGAAUGAGCAUUUGACUGCUGUUUGAGGAUGCAAAGCACAAUAGUCCGGUAUGACGCAUAUUAUUUGUAACAAUAAUCCGGAAUUACCAGAUAUUUGUAACAAUAGUCCGGUAUGACCAGAUAUUUGUAACAUUAGUCCGGUAUGGCCAGAUAUUUGUAACAUUAGUCCGGUAUGGCCAGUUAUCUGUAUGCAUAUCCUGACCCUAUGAGAAGUCAGGAUAAACCGCUCUCAUGAAGGAUAGACUCAAGCUGCACUUGCUAGGUGAGGUUUUAAUGCCUCCAGCAAUAACUCAGUGGUUAUGAUAAAUACAAUACUCAUUUCGUCUGCUUUGUAACAUAAUGUAUGCUGUAUGUAAAUUAUGUAACUCCAAUGUUUAGAUCAGAAUACUAUAUUUCAUGGUAUUAUUAAAGCGGUCAAGCUCAUCAUUUCGUUCAGGAACCAUAAACUUAUAAUAAAAAAAUCUAUGAAUCAAUGCAACAUUUUUUAUCCAUUUUGAGGUUCACAUUAUUAAGCCUAUUUUGGCACAAAUGGCUUCUAGUUUGUAGAAUAUUAGAAAGUUGCAUAGGCAUUCAGAUGAUCUAAACAACUUGGGCGCGUUUAGGUAGUGAGGAAACUGACGCCGUUUAACUGAUCAUCACUGUAACUAUGAAGUGUUCUGCAGCAGAUAGUGAGAGUGAUACGCUGCAUACUUGUCAAUAGCAGAACAUUCUACCUCGUGUGCACUUGUGUACAAACAGUGACUACCACUGAAACCAGUGUGUCUCGAACUGCGUCUGUUUUCGUAACUCCUAAACAUGCCUUUUAACGGCACUUGAGGACUUUUCCUUUUGGAGGGGCGAGCCAGCCGACACUCUAGGGUGAUGUGUGGGGACUACGUUGGGCCGGUGAGUCCCCAGCAUGUAUGUGGGUGCGGGGAUUACCGGCCCCCAAGUUCCCAUGAGAAGGGCGGGGGCAGUGUGAAGUCACCACUGAGCCCGCCUGCACUCAACGUUGUCCCUCGCUCACGGUCUUCAUUCAGCUUUUUGUCUAAAUGUAAAUUUUGCUCUAUAAAUAAAGUCAUUUCUCUUA
rnacentral:misc_RNA from 1 species